rnacentral:rRNA from 1 species
GACGAACGCUGGCGGCGUGCCUAAUACAUGCAAGUAGAACGCACAGUUUAUACCGUAGCUUGCUACACCAUAGACUGUGAGUUGCGAACGGGUGAGUAACGCGUAGGUAACCUGCCUGGUAGCGGGGGAUAACUAUUGGAAACGAUAGCUAAUACCGCAUAAUAUUGAUUAUUGCAUGAUAAUUGAUUGAAAGAUGCUAUUGCAUCACUACCAGAUGGACCUGCGUUGUAUUAGCUAGUAGGUGAGGUAACGGCUCACCUAGGCGACGAUACAUAGCCGACCUGAGAGGGUGAUCGGCCACACUGGGACUGAGACACGGCCCAGACUCCUACGGGAGGCAGCAGUAGGGAAUCUUCGGCAAUGGACGAAAGUCUGACCGAGCAACGCCGCGGGAGUGAAGAAGGUUUUCGGAUCGUAAAGCUCUGUUGUAAGAGAAGAACGGGUGUGAGAGUGGAAAGUUCACACUGUGACGGUAUCUUAACAGAAAGGGACGGCUAACUACGUG